rnacentral:lncRNA from 10 species
AAUCCCAUCGCUUGUGGGCAGGAGGAGUGAGGAUGCCAGAACCUAGUUAUCCCCCACCAUCCCACGCUCUCCCAGGAGGCGGCGGCAGGAAGUGCAGUCUACAGUAAGGGAAAGCCGCCGGAGCUGGAGACAGGCUGGAAAGAGCAGGUAACAGCCCACAAGGAGCGGGGGCCCUGGCUGUCAGACUCAACUUGCAGGACCAUCAAGUGCAGGUGUGGUUCAAGAACCGGGGCCGCUUGCUCUGCGGUAGCAACGGCACAUAACCGCAGCGAUGACCAGGGCAGCCAAGCCAGCAGCCGGGACCCCGGGAUGCUCUUGGCACAUGAUCCGACUCCCCUGCCUUUGCGGGUCCUGUACUCCCGCGAGGUCCAGGAUUGUGCAGCCCCUCCCCAACCGGCCGUUGGGAAUCUUCGCAGCAGCAGAACCCGCUGCCUCCAGGUCCGACCAGACCUGCAUAGGUAGAGAGUCCCCGCACAGGGCGGCCAGCAGAGCUACCCAGCUGCCCCAGGGCCUCGGGACCCCUGGGCCUGGGACCCAGGCCAGACCCUGACUCAUUCGGUGAUCUCACAGGACUCCUCCCACCCCAAGACCCUUUCAGGGACCCUGCCUCGAACUCCACGACAUGGGAGGCAGGGGCGGGCCUUUUGCAGGGGAAGGACUCCCCCAGCAGGACGUUUACUGAAUCUGGAGGGAGUCGCCCUGCAGAUAUCCCGCGGAAGCCGGAGGAGACCCAGGUGCGCCCCACCGGCUAGCUGCGCCUGCGGGUGCCCAAAUUGGUGUCCGGGCCAUCCUCACCGCAGUGACUCCUCCGCAGCGCCAACGCACUCCAUUUUCCUUCCACCCUGCCGGUGGGGGGCGUUUGCUUGUUCUCACUCUGCAGCCGCAGCCAGUGGCGCCGCUACCAAGGUCCCCGCCUCGCCAUCCGGGUCCUGCCUGAGCAUCCUUAUUGGUGCUCAGGGCUAGGCGUGCAUUGCUGCUAGGGGCGCGGAAAGGUUUAUCGUGGGUGGAUGCUGCCCGGGGCUUGAGUGGUUUUUAGAGGUCUUGAGUGGCUCACUCUCCAAUCAGCGCUUUCUAGAGACAGCGUGGUCAGCGUACUUGCUUACUUUCAGGAUUGCGAGACGUCUUUAACCCUUGCUGAUCGGCUGACGCUGCAGCUUCCUGUGGCUUCCUGCUCAUUUCCCGCAAGAUAGCACUGAUAGGGUAUUGGAAAUCCUUAUGAAUUCCAUUUUGGAAAAUUUAUCCUGAGGAAAUAAAUAAAGAUGUAAACAGAGAAUAACUUACAGAUGUGACGUUUGUGAUCGUUAAAACUGGAAACAGCGCAAGAGUGGACGAUAGGGGAUGAGAGAGCCACA